GACGCCGGGGCGUUGUAAAGGCACCUAGGCGUUAUGAAAAACACCAAUCGUGGCGAGGUUGAAAACCCCACUAAGGUGAAUCACCAAUCUUGGCAAGGUUGAAAACCCCACUAAGGUGAAAAAUAGCCAAAAUCCCACUUUGGUUGGCUAGGCCAAAGAUAUUAAAACCUCUUACUCUUUAAAAGAGCCUAGAGAAAUAAGCACUCCUG
rnacentral:lncRNA from 1 species